GNGAAACNNNUAGAGUUUGAUCAUGGCUCAGAUUGAACGCUGGCGGCAGGCUUAACACAUGCAAGUCGAGCGGUAACAGGUCCUUCGGGAUGCUGACGAGCGGCGGACGGGUGAGUAAUGCAUGGGAACUUGCCCAGUAGUGGGGGAUAGCCCGGGGAAACCCGGAUUAAUACCGCAUACGCCCUACGGGGGAAAGCAGGGGAUCUUCGGACCUUGCGCUAUUGGAUGGGCCCAUGUCGGAUUAGCUUGUUGGUGAGGUAAUGGCUCACCAAGGCGACGAUCCGUAGCUGGUCUGAGAGGAUGAUCAGCCACACUGGGACUGAGACACGGCCCAGACUCCUACGGGAGGCAGCAGUGGGGAAUAUUGGACAAUGGGGGCAACCCUGAUCCAGCCAUGCCGCGUGUGUGAAGAAGGCUUUCGGGUUGUAAAGCACUUUCAGUGGUGAGGAAGGGGAGUACGUUAAUAGCGUGCUUCAUUGACGUUAGCCACAGAAGAAGCACCGGCUAACUCCGUGCCAGCAGCCGCGGUAAUACGGAGGGUGCAAGCGUUAAUCGGAAUUACUGGGCGUAAAGGGCGCGUAGGCGGUUUGUUAAGCGAGAUGUGAAAGCCCCGGGCUUAACCUGGGAACGGCAUUUCGAACUGGCAGGCUAGAGUGCAGUAGAGGGCAGUGGAAUUUCCGGUGUAGCGGUGAAAUGCGUAGAUAUCGGAAGGAACACCAGUGGCGAAGGCGACUGCCUGGACUGACACUGACGCUGAGUGCGAAAGCGUGGGUAGCAAACACGAUUAGGUACCCUGGUAGUCCACGCUGUAAACGAUGAGAACUAGUCGUUGGGGGUCUUGAAUCCUUAGUGACGCAGCUAACGCACUAAGUCUCCGCCUGGGGAGUACGGCCGCAAGGUUAAAACUCAAAUGAAUUGACGGGGGCCCGCACAAGCGGUGGAACAUGUGGUUUAAUUC
rnacentral:rRNA from 1 species